rnacentral:rRNA from 1 species
UCCAAUCGAACCCGGAGAUAGCUGGUUCUCCUCGAAAUAGCUUUAGGGCUAGCCUCAUGGAUCAUUGAUGGGGGUAGAGCACUGAAUGUGCGCGGGGGCCACAAAGCCUACCAAACGCUAUCAAACUUCGAAUACCAUACAAUGCAGACCAUGGGAGUCAGUCCGCGAGAGAUAAGUUCCGCGGGCAAAAGGGGAACACCCCAGAUCAACCGCUAAGGUCCCCAAGUUCACGUUAAGUGGAGAAGGAUGUGGAAUUGCACAGACAACCAGGAUGUUGGCUCAGAAGCAGCCACACAUUUAAAGAGUGCGUAAUAGCUCACUGGUCGAGUGAUUGUGCGCCGAAGAUGUCCGGGGCUAAACGUGACACCGAAGCGAUGGGUGCAUCUGAAGAAGAUGCGCGGUAGAGGAGCAAUGUGCAGAGGCAGAAGCCGUAUCGAGAGGCACGGUGGACACUGCACAAGAGAGAAUGCCGGUAUGAGUAGCGAGAGGCAUGCGAGAAACAUGCCCGUCGAAAGCCCAAGGUUUCCUGGGGAAGGUUCAUCCGCCCAGGGUAAGUCGGGGCCUAAGCCGAGGACGGAAGUCGUAGGCGAUGGACAGCAGGUGUAGAUUCCUGCACUACCGAUGGAAUGAAGCAGUGACACAGAAGGAUAACUCGAGCAGGGUGAUGGUCAACCCUGUGCAAGCAUCAAGGUUGGGUUGUAGUGAAGUACGCAACCCUAUAAGCUGAGAUGUGAUGCGGACCGAAAUUUCAGUAGGGAAGCGAGUGAGUUCACGCUGGCGAGAAAAGCUGCUAGUACAUCCAAAGGUACCCGUACCGGAAACCGACGCAGGUGGGCGAGGAGAGAAUCCUGAGACGAACGGGAGAACCCUUGUUAAGGAACUCGGCAAAAUGACCCCGUAACUUCGGGAUAAGGGGUGCCUGCGAGAGCAGGCCGCAGAGAAUAGUCACAAGCGACUGUUUAGCAAAAACACAGGUAUCUGCGAAAGCGAGAGCUGACGUAUAGGUGCUGACACCUGCCCGGUGCUGGAAGGUUAAGGGAACAUGUUAGAGCAAUCGAAGCAUCGAACCGAAGCCCCAGUAAACGGCGGCCGUAACUAUAACGGUCCUAAGGUAGCGAAAUUCCUUGUCGGGUAAGUUCCGACCCGCACGAAUGGUGUAACGACUUGUGAGCUGUCUCAACAGGGGGCCCGGUGAAAUUGAAGUAUGGGUGAAGAUGCCCAUUACCCGCGACUGGACGGAAAGACCCCGUAGAGCUUUACUGCAGCCUGAUAUUGAGUUUCGGUAACUGAUGCACAGGAUAGGUGGGAGUCUGAGAGACAUGGGUUUCGGCUCAUGUGGAGACGGUGUUGGGAUACCACUCUUCGGUUACUGAAAUUCUAACAUAGCUCUGUGAAACCAGAGGAUGGACAGUGUCAGGUGGACAGUUUGACUGGGGCGGUCGCCUCCGAAAGAGUAACGGAGGCGCCCAAAGGUACCCUCAGAAUGGAUGGAAACCAUUCGAAGAGCGCAAAGGCAGAAGGGUGCCUGACUGCGAGAUUGACAAAUCGAGCAGAGACGAAAGUCGGGCUUAGUGAUCCGGCGGUAUUGAGUGGAAAAGCCGUCGCUUAACGGAUAAAAGCUACCUCGGGGAUAACAGGCUGAUCUCCCCCAAGAGUCCACAU